GUCGGUCGACGUGCGGUUAUUGGAUUCACACCGGAAACUCACCAAGGGCGACUGUUACAUGAAAGCCAGGCUAAUGACCUUGCUUGAUUUUCAGAGAGGUGGUGCAUGGCCGUCGUCAGUUCGUACCGUAAGGCGUUCUCUUAAGUGAGAUAACGAACGAGACCCUCACUAAUAAUUGCUACUUCGAUCUCCGGAUCGGAGGCACAUUAUUGGGACCGCUGGCGCUAAGUCAGAGGAAGGAGAGGUCAACGGUAGGUCAGUAUGCCCCGAAUCUCUUGGGCUACACGCGCGCUACAAAGGGCGGGACAAUGGGCUCCGACGCCGAGAGGCGAAGGUAAUCUCGAAACCCGUCCGUAGUUCGGAUUGAGGGUUGUAACUCACCCUCAUGAAGCUGGAUUCCGUAGUAAUCGCGAAUCAACAACUCGCGGUGAAUAUGCCCCUGCUCCUUGCACACACCGCCCGUU
rnacentral:rRNA from 2 species